GCGGGGCCACUGUUGUAAAAUAGUUUGAGCAAAUACUUAGGACAAUAUUCCACAGCUCCAAAAUUCACGACAUGUCACCGAUAACUACAUUUUACCUGAUCGUACUUAUUGGUUGCAUUUUCUACGCCUGGCCUUCGGAUGCAGGUUGUUAUACCGUAUGUUACCCAAUGAUGGCAUGUGACGACGUUUAUAACAACGUGAAUUGCCGUAUCGAGCAAAAUUGUAUGCAAAAAUGCUCCCCGGACUAUAACUACACUUAAAUCGAGAAUGAAGAAAUUUCUACAAAAUUCAAUCUAAUGUUAUAAAUAUUCAGCGUUUGAAAUUGUGGAUAAUUGCGAAAUAAAUAAAUUAUGUAAUUGUA